AGUGAACGCUGGCGGUAGGCCUAACACAUGCAAGUCGAACGGCAGCACAGUAAGAGCUUGCUCUUACGGGUGGCGAGUGGCGGACGGGUGAGGAAUACAUCGGAAUCUACUUUUUCGUGGGGGAUAACGUAGGGAAACUUACGCUAAUACCGCAUACGACCUACGGGUGAAAGCAGGGGAUCUUCGGACCUUGCGCGAUUGAAUGAGCCGAUGUCGGAUUAGCUAGUUGGCGGGGUAAAGGCCCACCAAGGCGAGGAUCCGUAGCUGGUCUGAGAGGAUGAUCAGCGACACUGGAACUGAGACACGGUCCAGACUCCUACGGGAGGGAGCAGUGGGGAAGAUUGGACAAUGGGCGCAAGCCUGAUCCAGCCAUACCGAGUGGGUGAAGAAGGCCUCCGGGUUGUAAAGACCUUUUGUUGGGAAAGAAAAGCAGCAGGUUAAUACCCCGCUGUUCUGACGGUACCCAAAGAAUAAGCACCGGCUAACUUCGUG
rnacentral:rRNA from 1 species